GUGACGGGAGUCGCGGGAACGUGCGGUGAGUUCCAGGAACGAGUGUGGGAAAUGGUACCAAAGGCUAGGCUUCCUUGGAAUGUCCGCAAACACACUCCGUGAAAGUUUUGAAGCUAAAAGGCAGAUCAAACAGAAACUGCAGCUGCUAACUUUACUGCGACCUUAUUUCUGACAUAAAAUGCCCUCAGCGUAUUCUCACGUAAGGACUAAACUGCCUUCGUUAAAGGUGCGGGUCAUGCCAGCCCCGCGCCUGCGCAGAGCAGACGCGGCGCAGUUUAGCAGCCGAUCUGCUCUGUGACGACACAGAGACUGCUACGCCACCGCCGCCCGGCUCCUCAGGGACUGCCUGGUCCCUGCCCGCAGUGAGGGAGGCGGGCUGCCGGUCAGAGGGCGGAGGCCUAGCGAGGCGGAAGUCUCCGGCGGCUGCUGUUCACGCUUCUAGGGGGCCGGGAGGGAGCAUCUGCGCCGGAAGUGGUAGCGUGGCCGAGCGGUCUAAGGCGCUGGAUUAAGGCUCCAGUCUCUUCGGGGGCGUGGGUUCGAAUCCCACCGCUGCCAGGGCUUCUUUUUCUUCACGCACAGUGUGGACCGUUGCCCCGUCCUGAGUCAGGCCCCUUUUUCUCCUCCUUUGACUCGUGUUUACUCCGGAUACAGCCGCAGCCCGGCCAGGAGGUGCUUUUGUUCUCGCGGUCCUCAGUACGAACGAAGGACCGUACGACAGACUCCGGCAUCCCUUUGUAUCUCGAGGCACAUCAUCCGACGCCUGUGAAGGAAUAAGAUGUGUCCAGAAUGGCCCCGGAUCUUCCUGAGGCCCCGGCAGCCGGCUGUCUCGUGUCUGGAACCCUGUGCAGAUCCGACAAGAGACCCCCGCGGAGGGGGUACUGGUCCCAUGACUGCGGACACACCCGCCAGCGCCAGGGUUUUCUAAGUGGACUUCCUCCAGGAGAUUGAGGAUGGAUGACGCAGCACUAAGAACAUACUAGAACCAGCUGUCAUACGGCACACGGCUGGUGACUGGAGCUUCCCCGUCACUCACCUGGGAAGGAGCAGGUCAGGAACCCCCAGUCCUGCAGGUCCUCAGCGCAGGGCACGGCCCCUUGCUCCAGAUGGGAGAUGAGGGGUGGCUUAGGGCAGGCAAGGCCUGUUCAUGGAGAAGGGAAGUCAGUGUGCAUAGCAGAUCACCUCUGUCCCAACACCCGGCCUUGACCCUUCUGCUCCCACUGCAGAGGAGAGUGUGAGCAGGGGGGAGAAAAGGGUGUACUUGGGGGGGUCUGCCAACGCGUAAGCAAGCAUGUAGGGAUGACCUCAGAAAGGUCACGCUCAGAAGGGCAGAGGAGGAGACCCCAGGAAGCAGUCACUUGGUUGUAUUUUCCCCGUUGUGGCUGCGAGGCAAGAAUGAGGGCCCUGACUUUCACUGGGAGGCCCGGAGACGUCAAUAGACAGCAAGUAAAGAGUAAGGACAGGAGAAAGGACUAAGCCAAGCACGGGGUGUCCUCACCAGCCGACAGCAUGUUGCCAUAGUUCUCCAGCAUCACGUCAGUGUACAGGUGCCUCUGGGCGCGGGUCAGACACUGCCACUCUCCGCUACUGAAGCACACAGCCACAUCCUCAAACGUCACCGCGUCCUGCAAGGAUAUGCUCCCGCUGACCCGGAGGAAACCCCAGUCCCCAGGAAACAGACGCAGAAGAAGGGAUUCUCAGGAGGUUUCUAGAAAUGAAAGGAAGGGCUCGCCUGGGCCCCACUCACCGGUGUGGUAUUUGCUCCUGGCCGGUCUCCGUGGCUUCCGUCGUUGGCAAAGGCAGGAUGCUGAGGAGCCCGCAGGGCUGAGGGAAGAGAAAUGAGUCAACUUGGCACGGUAUUGACGAGACCCUGUGCUUUCCUCCUCUUCCCUAACGUGCAAGUCUAGACCACACCUUCCCCUCAUUUCUCCAGCCUGUUUCCAGUUUGGGCAGCAGGCCAUGGCACACAGCCAUGCUGACGGUAAAUGCUUGCUCUCCCUCACCUACAACGUGGUUUUCUGUGGUCGCUCUUCAUCCUAGAAUAACCUCGCCUGUCCCCAAGCCCACAUCACUGACUCCUGGCUGGUUCGAUGACCUUCCAGGAUCUGAGUGUUGAGGUCACUUCCUCCAGAAGGAGUAGGGAUGGGGACGGAUGGGGAUUGGCCCACAGCUUGUUCCUUUAGGUAACUUACUAGCUGGCCUACCUCGGGCCAUUUUCCCUUGUUCUUAUUAGAGAAGCAGCACGUGUCCCAACUCUGAGUCUCCCAUUAGCUCCUGGCACGGAGCCACCGUCCCCUCACCGUGCUGCAGUGCACGCAGCGUAUGCAGCAUGUGGUGUCCAGGUGUCUGGGGCAGCCCGUAGGGCACUUCGGCCCUCCACCUCGGCCGGCCCACAUAGCUGGCUAGGGAGCCCUAAUUCACUCCUCAGGGACCAGCUCCACCUUUCCUUAGCUUGUGUUUGCAGUGACUAACCUUUCUAGAAAGUUCUUCAACACAUCCCCAAUCCGAGUCUGAGCAGUCUCUUUCAGAAGAUACCAGGGAGAUUGGUCACCAACUGAUAAGACUCUAGGAUCACCCUGUGGACUUAGGUCCCCAAAAUUUCAUUCCAAUUUUGCCAAAACUUCAAUUUAGGAGCAAACUGGUUUCUUCCCAGAGAAAUUUCCCAAGAACAUUGUUCUUUGGUUUAGACCUGGGCUGUGUCUCAGUCCUCAUGGUACCUGCUCUCUUAUUCCGUGUCUCACCUACAAGCCCACGCAUUCUGUGACUGUUGGUUGCACAUGGUCCCACACCCAUUGGGCUCACAGCAGAGGCAGGUCUGCUCUGCAAGGAUCCUCAUGACAUCAAAAAUGUAACCUCCCAGCUCGGUGUUUUGUUCAAUCCACAUUUUAUUUAUUUUCUUCUUUUUUUUAAUGUUUAUUUUUGAGAGACAGAGAGAGAGAUUGGACGUGAAUGGGGGAGGGGCAGGGACAGGCUCUGAGCUGUCAGCACAGAGUCCGACUUGGGGCUCAAACCCAUGACCUGUGAGAUCAUGACCUGAGCUGGAGUCAGACACUUAACCGACUGAGCCACCCAGCUGCCCCUCAAUCCACAUUUUAUUGUGAAUGUUUUCAAAUAUACAGAAAAGCUGAAAGAACUGUGUGGUAAACAUCCACAUACUCCCCACUCAUGUUCCACAAUUAAUGUUUGCAAUAAACCUCUGUCUGUCUCACUAGCCCACUCGUCUUUGCUGAGUUUCAAAGUAACGAAGACAUGAGCAACUUUACCCCAAAACACUUUCUCCCAUGUAUCAUUAACUGGGGUUCAGUAUGUGUUUACAUUCUUGUUUUUGAGUAAAUUUACAUACACAUUUAUAUACACAUACAUACACAAGUCGUAAGUGUACCAUUGGCUGAGUUUUGACAAAGCACAGCCCUAUUUGGCCCAAAGUCCCCUCCAGAAACGUCCCCGUUGGAUUUUGACUAUAUCUUCUUCACAGAUUGGGAUAGUCAUUAAGUCAUAGUGGUUCUUCUUUUAAAAAAGUGUUCAUCAUGCUAUUUUUUUUUUUAAAGUAGAUUCCGUGCCCCAUGGGAGGCUUGAACUCACGACCCUGAGUCCAAGUCAUGUGGCUGCACCAACUGGGCCAGCCAGGUGCCCCCAAAGUUUUUUGAACUGUGGCACAGAAUAUGUGACCAAAUUUACCAUCUUAAGCAUUCUUAAGUGUAUGGUUCAGCAGUGUUGAAAACACACAAUGUGAGUCAUCUCCACAACUUUUUCAUCCUGCAAAACUUAAACUCUCUAUGCAUCACACAACCUGCCUGUGUCUCUCCCUCCCCAGUCCCUGGUCACCACAGUGAUUCUUAGGCUUUAUUUUUUAGCUUUAGAUUUUGAAAGGUCAGUUUCUGCCCUCAAGUUAAAAAUGAAUCUGGGACACAGGCUGUGUGCUCACGACCUGAAACUACCUUGGUCAGCUCAGGCUGCCCUAACAAAACACCCCGGGCUGGCUGGCUCACUUCUCUCAGUUCUGGAGGCUGGACGUGCAGACCCAGGUGUCGGCCCCUCCUGGCUUCCGUCCCUCUCCUCUCACAUGGGAGAGACAGAGUUCUGGGCCCCUCCUCUCUUCAUUGCCAUCCUUAUGACUUUAUCUAAACCUCAUUUCUUCCCAAGGCCCCACCCACCUCUCAAUAUCAUCACACAGGGGUUCAGGGACAUGUGCAUUUUGAGGGGACACGUUCAGUCCAUAACAAAAUUAUUUGUUAAAGCUGGGCACAGAUAGUAUCUGGGAUGAGACUGAUUCACUUAUGAUUCCUUAUACAGUAGAAAUGUCAGGAUUUCUCAUUUGGAAGUGCCAAUAACAUACUUUUUUUUUCGUUGUAGAUAAUAAAUACUAAAAGCCUACUUUUGAGGUGCCUGGUGCCUCGUCCUCUGUCCAAAGGUCGGUGCCAUUCAGGGUCUGCCUGUAGGACUCCAGAAUUGCUAAACGCCAGGCCCUGGGUUUUACUUCCAGCAGCCACGUCUAUACAGUCUUGUCCACCUUCCUCUGCACAUGUCCCAUCAAAGAGCAUUUCUAAACCCAGACUCUCAUUUUCCCAAAGCUUCACGACAAGACCUUUGCUCCUUCUUGGCCAGUUGUUUCCAGAUCACUCACUCUGAGGGAGGCCAGCUGUCACAUUGCGAGGAGUGGCCCACGUGGUGAGGAAAUGAAACCCCCGCCAACAGCCAUUUGAAUGAGUUUAGAAGUGCAUCCUCCAGCCCCCAGUCUAGCCAUCAGAUGACUACAGCCCGGGUCACAGACUCAAAGCCAACAGCUGAGCUGCUCUCAGAUUCCUGAUCUGCAGAAACUGUGUG